UGGGGAAUUUUGGACAAUGGGCGCAAGCCUGAUCCAGCCAUGCCGCGUGCGGGAAGAAGGCCUUCGGGUUGUAAACCGCUUUUGUCAGGGAAGGAAAUACUUCUGAGUUAAUACCUCGGGAGGAUGACGGUACCUGAAGAAUAAGCACCGGCUAACUACGUGCCAGCAGCCGCGGUAAUACGUAGGGUGCAAAGCGUUAAUCGGAAUUACUGGGCGUAAAGCGUGCGCAGGCGGUUUUGUAAGACAGAGGUGAAAUCCCCGGGCUCAACCUGGGAACUGCCUUUGUGACUGCAAGGCUUGAGUGCGGCAGAGGGGGAUGGAAUUCCGCGUGUAGCAGUGAAAUGCGUAGAUAUGCGGAGGAACACCGAUGGCGAAGGCAAUCCCCUGGGCCUGCACUGACGCUCAUGCACGAAAGCGUGGGGAGCAAACAGGAUUAGAUAGCCCUGGUAGUCCACGCCCUAAAACGAUGUCAGCUGGUUGUUGGGAAGGUUCCUUCUCAGUAACGUAGCUAACGCGUGAAGUUGACCGCCUGGGGAGUACGGCCGCAA
rnacentral:rRNA from 1 species